rnacentral:lncRNA from 1 species
GUAAAAGUACAGAAAUUGUGCUUGAAGACUAGGAUUAGGAGUACAUCGACUCCUAGAACUGUGAGUGGAUAAUUUAUCAUCUUAAAUAUCUAGAGUAAUUAUACGUGUUUGAUGUUUUUAUUGAAUGGUGAGUUUGAAUUAUAAAAUAUUAUAUUUUUCAAUUAAAAUGUUUUUUAAUAAAAAUGAAAUUUAUACUAGUUUUGAAAUCAAAUAUUGUUUUGGGAAAAUUGAGUAUAUGGAGACUGUGUUGAAAUUUAUGAUUUUAUAUAUUAUUGAAAUUGGGGCUUAUGACAAUAUGGUAGCAUGAUGGCUAAAUUUUUGGGGUUGGCAUGAAAUAUAUGAACAGUUUUGGAUUGGUCUCGAUAGACUGGAUUAAAUUUUAUUUGCCAUAUUAUGCUACUGGAAAUGUUAUGGGUCUGGUGGUAUAUUAAACGGUCACUGUCGUGGUGGGGGUUUCCGUGGACUACUUAUGAGAGGGGCACGGUAACUCAAUUAUAUACUUACCUAUGGGGGGAGAUGUUAGGUGAAGUGUUUCCUGAGGUAUGAUUUGAGUGCACCUCACGUUCGGGCCACCACGUGAGAGUGAGACUCAGCCAACGCCAAGGAACGGCUGUGUGUUAGAUGUGAAAAUAUGUUUAUGGGUAUAGGUCAUUGAACAGCCUUGGCGGUCUUAGUGGGAUACCUUGACGAAGGUACCUGCGAGAAUGAUUCUGGCAGGGGUCAAGUUUAAGAAAUUCAUAAGCUAGGAAAUUUUGAUGAAAAGAAAUUAUUUUGUAUAGAUUGAAACGAAUUUUGCGUUAUGAACAUUGUUGAGAUAUAAUGUUUUUAUAUUAUCUCCAUCUACUCGGCUUUAGAUACUUUUGAUGGUAAUUGUUUACUCACUGGGAUUAUUUUAUCUCACCCCUCUUCCUAUCCAUUUUACAGGCUUAGGACAGUUUGUUGAUAGUUGAUUAAGACGAGAAUUAAUCUCGGAGUUGCAUCAUAGGAAGUAAGGGUUCGUAGCUCUACACCUUCUUGGUUAGUUGGGGGCCCACAUGUCACUGUAAACGAAAUUUCAUACUUUAAUUAUCUUUAUUACUAUAUGAAAAAAUUUAUUUUACUCUUACGCUACAAAAGUUAUUUUAGGAAGACUUUGAAAAUAUUGUGUUUUAAGAAAAUAGAAGAUUUUAUUUAAUGUUUUUA